rnacentral:lncRNA from 1 species
GCUGGGAGAUGGCGCAGGUGGCGUCGGAGGGAUAUGCAUGGAUGGGCUCACGCCUCAAGCCCACAUAAACUUUGUUUACUGAUGAUGAAGAGUUCUUCCGAAAAGAAAACCUUUCUUACAAGGUGAACACUCUCGGUUGGAGAUUUAGAACAUGACCGUGUCAGAUUCUUCUUCGGUUGCCCAGUGCCCACAACUAACAAAAAAAUAUAAAUAAAGGGACCAAACCACAUAGCUAGAAAAACCAAGGACACUAUCU